GAAGGGGGCUAGCGUUGCUCGGAAUCACUGGGCGGAAAGCGCACGUAGGCGGCUUUCUAAGUCAGGGGGGAAAUCCUGGAGCUCAACUCCAGAACUGCCUUUGAUACUGGGGAGCUCGAGUCCGGAAGAGGUGAGUGGAACUCCGAGUGUAGAGGUGAAAUUCGUAGAUAUUCGGAAGAACACCAGUGGCGAAGGCGGCUCACUGGUCCGGUACUGACGCUGAGGUGCGAAAGCGUGGGGAGCAAACAGG
rnacentral:rRNA from 1 species